rnacentral:lncRNA from 10 species
CUUUAUUAGCAGUGUGAAAAUGAACUAAUACAACAUGAUUAGGAAAAAAUUUUCUGCCAAAUGAAAUCAAAUCAGACAGUUCAGGUUUUGCCAUCCAAAGGGUUUCAAGGAUACAACCUUCACCACUUUUAGAUUUCACAAUUUUGAAAAUUAAAUUGUGGACCUAGAUUUAUUGAGCAGUAGGCAUUAACAUGCAUUAAAAUUUAAUAUUUAUAACAAACAUCUGAGGGAUGUUUUACUAGUUCCAUUUUAUAGAUAAGAAUAUGUGGACUCAGAGAAAUUAAAUAACAUGGCUAAGGUCACACAUCAGUAAGAGGAGUAACUGAAAAUCAAAGGAAAUCUUUCAGCCUUCACCACCAGUGUUCUUCCUACUGCACCAGCACCCUCAAAGAAGCUCCACCAUGACAAGUAGUUGGACAGUCAUUACUUCUGUCUACAUUCCAUUUAGACUCAUAGAUUAGAGAAGAUAAAUGCAGUAUUAUUCUUAUGAGCCACAAUCAAACUGUAACUGGAGAUUUCUUAAAUUUCUCUAAAUAUGUUUGUGACAAGAAACUGUAUUUUGUUUUAUUCCACCUCAGGCAUGAGAAAUAGGUUCCAGUCCCUAAUAUCAUGACGUGUUGAUGCCUUUGCUAAAAAUCAGCUUUCCUUCUGAUUUCAGGUUCUCAUGAGUAUUAUCCUCCAAUCAUCAACUGAUGAAGAUCACAAAACUUCACUCUCUGCAACUGACAGGAAAUGAAUUUGCAAUAUUUUCUGAGAUAUAUCCAAUUUUACCACCCUCUUCCUCCAAAAAUUGUUUAAAACAUGAUCCCAGGCACUAAAAUUUCUCCUACUGUUGUGAUUGAUGGAGGAUUUUAAGUAAUCUGAGAAAUGGAAAAGUCACUAGUUAUUGGCUAGUGUAACUUAUAAUGUACAAAGCAAGGGUCUAAGGCCCUGAUUCACAUUUUCUAUCACUUUAUAGGGCUUUCACUGCAUUUAAUUAUGACUGAAAACAAAUAGAAGUAAACAAAUAUUUACAAAGUAAACUAAUUGUGAUGAUGUAUUUAUCCACCACUGCCUAAGGUAUUAUUCUCAAAAACAAUCCCAAUUAGCAGAAGUAGACUUUGGAGAACUACAGGUAAAGAAGGAGGUGACCUGAGACACCCCCAGCCAAACAAUGCAAACAAUUUAUCAAUAUGCAUAGACAUGACUUCACAGAUCACUAGACAAUCUUUAAAAGCAGUCAAGUUAUCAUGUAUGGACAUCAAUUCCAUUAGCAUCACUGGCUUUUUCAGUUACAUUUUUAAUCUGGAGAAUGUUACUAUCCCCAAAUUGGCAGCCUAUUUGGCAAAGAGAAAUUCCAUACUGUUAAUCUAUGUUAAAGACAGAUGAAACUGUGUACAAAACCAAACAAGUGCCCUGAACUGAGAUGUGCCAGUAUGUUAAAUACCAAUGUAUUUGACCCUGUGGGUGAGUCAGCCAAAGGAGACCAAUAUAGGGAAAUGGUUUCGUACAAUAGUGGCUGAGAACAUAGUUUCUGGGAAAGGCUGAGCCUUAACUCUGCCACCUAUCAUCAGCAUGACCUUGGACAACUUAUCUACUAUGUCAAAAUUUUCCAUAUUGGACAUGUAUUACUUUCAUGGUAAGAAAAUAAUUAAAUUCGUUAACUGAAAAAAGCUGCCCUUACCAUCUAAAACUAAGUUAUGCUUCAUACACAUGUAUAGGGCAUCCAGAGGUCAGGAAAAAUGAUCAAACCAAUAUAUGGGAGAAAAUUGUGUCAGAGAAAGAACAUGAGCUAGCAUUGUCCCUUAUAAAUCUGUCAUUACUAUGAGUUUCAGUUUCCUCAUACUUCCUCAUCAGAAUAUCUACCUAGCAGAAUUGCUAAGAGAUUUGUACUCUUUAAAAAUCCAGCCUUGUGCCAAGUGCAUUGUACAUGUUCAAAAAAUAAUAGCUAUCAUUUUUAUGAUACAUAUGAUGCCUCUACGUUUUCUUUAAACCCUAAACUAAAUAAGUUCACAAAGAUUGUUAAGGGAAAUGUUUUCUUUUUAUGCUAGCUAUGAGUUUAUUUUCUGAACAUAUUAAACCCCCAACCCUCUCCUCCUGUAGGGAGAACAGUCUGUUGACUUUGGAUCCAAUUGAAUUGAAACAGCCUGUAUCCAGGUGAUAUCCAGGAUGUCUACUCGGGAGGAAUCCAGACACCGAGGAAAGCCCAAUCUGGUGCUGGGGAAUAACUUGGCAGGCACAGAAAUAUACAGGGAGAGAAAAAGCUGCAGACAAAAGUGUCCAACUAAUGGGAAAAGCCACUGAAAGAAUAGGAACCAGAAUCAGAUGAUGAUGAUGAUGAUGAUGAUGACGACGACGACGACAACAACGAUGACAAAGAAGAUGGUGAUGAGGAAACUGAAUCACAGAGUAGUUAAGGGAAUUGGUUAUGUUCAUACAGCAGAGAUGAUCAAGCAGGAUAAGAGCCUGGAAAUCUGGGAGAAGUCAUGUGAAAAAUAAUGUGGAAAGUAGAAAAGAGAACUAAAGAGUCCUACUCACAUUGUGUUCAUCCAUUUUCAUGCUGCUAAUAAAGACAUGACCAAGACUGGGUAAUUUACAAAGGAAAGAGGUUUAAUUGACUCAGAGUUCCACAUGGCUGGGGAGGCCUCACAAUCAUGGUGGAAGGUGAAUGAGGAGCAAAGUCACGUCUUACAUGGCAGCAGGCAAGAGAAUGUGUGCAGGGGAACUCCCCUUUAUAAAACCAUCAGAUCUCAUGAGACUUAUUCACUAUCACAAGGACAGCACAAGAAAGACCUGCCCCCAUGAUUCAAUUAUCUCCCACUGUGUGUCUCCCAUGACAUGUGGGAAUUGUGGGAGUUACAAUUCAAGAUUAGAUUUGGUUGGGGACACAGCCAAACCAUAUCACACAUCUUUGGGGAACAUUUUUCCAAUAUUCCAUAGUAUCACCUUAAAAAUUACUUUUUAAAAGUCAGGGAAAAUAUAUGAUUUCAUGAUGCUCAUUAUAAUUUAAUUGUCCCCCAUUGAAUGUAGGUUCUGGUGAAUAUAUUUUUACAUUUCUUCCUUCAAUGAUGCACGUAUUAAUUAUUACAUUUCCCCACUACUUUCUGUACAUUUGUAUGUGUGACCAUGAAUGUGUCCCCUUGCUCAUUUCAGCUUGCAUUUUUAUUUCUUUUAUUUCUUUCUUCUACUUUUCUGUAUCUUCCCCACAACCUCUGAAGCCAAAGCAAUUCAUCCAGACCCAAAAUUCAGGAGGCUCCACAAGGACCAUAAACAGCAGGACCUGUAAAUAAAAGUUUGUCUAUUCUCUCUUAUGGACUAUUGAGAAGAGAGUUUGUCAGAAGAAGAAAAAUUCUUUAAGACAUUAUUUUCAGCAAAGCUGUCACUGUUUUGAAAUUAUUAGGCCCAAAGUUAAAUGUAAAAGCACUGAAUACUUUCCAUGGUUUUAUAUAAAUGAAUAUUAUCUAGGUCAGCUUUUAAGUUUUAAUAGUAUAAUUAAUACAUCUCCUUUGUGUGUGUGUGUUUUUUAAGUUUUCCAUCCUAUUUAAUGUGACUUUAUUACACCUUGAAACCAUGUGUUCCCUAGAGUGUUCCCGGCUCCAGACUGGGCCCUCUUCUCCUUUCUGUUUAUAAUAGGGGGAUUCCCAGUGCACUAGAAAACAUGUAUAUGCUGAUAAUUUUCUAACAUUUCUCUCUAGUCUUUAUCUCUCCCCUGAGGGCCAGACUCGUAGAUCCACUUGCUCCCUGGAUACCUCCAUUCAAAUACAUAAUCCACAACUCAAACAUGACAGGUCUAAAAUGGAACUUUUGAUUUCUACCCAGAAUUAAACAGUUUAGAAGGUGCAUUAAACACAACAUUUCUAUGAGCCUUUCAUAGGCCGGUGCAUGUUGUUAAUUUCCAACAGUUUCCCAGACUUGAGAAGUGCUGUUCUGGAACACCCUUUGGAAAUACUGUUCUGGAACCA